GUCAUUAUGGGGUAUUGUGAUGUCACCAUGGGGUAUUGUGAUGUCAUUAUGGGGUAUUGUGAUGUCGUUAUGGGGUAUUGUGUGUAGAUUGCUGAGGAAUUGUUUUUAUUUAAUCCAUUUUAGAAUAAGGCUGUAACGUAACAAAAUGUGGAAAAAGUCAAGGGGUCUGAAAACUUUCCGAAGGCACUGUAUGCAGACUGCAAACAUUCUUUAAAUUUCAAUCGAGCUAUACAGGGGAUCUUCAGUACUAUGAACAGAACAUAGCCCUAACAUUGCCUAAAUAGCAAGUAUCACACUUGAUUUUUCUGAAGAUAAAAUUUGUAUACAGAUUUUUAUUAAGAUGAAUAACUUUCUACAGCUCUUUUCUUUUUGUUCCCAUUGGUUCUGCUCAGGCUGAUGUGUAUCCAGAUAGACAUUGGUUCUGCUCAGGCUGAUGUGUAUGCAGAUAGACAUUGGUUCUGUUCAGGCUGAUGUGUAUCCAGAUAGACAUUGGUUCUGCUCAGGCUGAUGUGUAUCCAGAUAGACAUUGGUUCUGUUCAGGCUGAUGUGUAUCCAGAUAGACAUUGGUUCUGCUCAGGCUGAUGUGUAUCCAGAUAGACAUUGGUUCUGUUCAGGCUGAUGUGUAUCCAGAUAGACAUUGGUUCUGCUCAGGCUGAUGUGUAUCCAGAUAGACAUUGGUCCUGUUCAGGCUGAUUGCUGAUGUGUAUCCAGAUAGACAUUGGUCCUGUUCAGGCUGAUUGUUGAUGUGUAUCCAGAUAGACAUUGGUCCUGUUCAG
rnacentral:lncRNA from 1 species